rnacentral:tRNA from 2 species
GUCGGGGUGGCUCAGCCUGGUGGAGCGUCGGACUCAUAAUCCGGAGGUCGCGGGUUCGAACCCCGCCCCCGACA